AUAGUGUAUAAAAUGAGAGAGGUUAACACUCCCCUUGAUAAGGACAAAAUGGCCCCUGGGCCUCAACAUACAUUCGGUUAAGGCACAGCCGCUUACUUCGUGGCACUUAGCAACAUUUUUAA
rnacentral:ncRNA from 1 species